ACCGGGCCCCUAACAUAAAUGAAGCAGCAGCUUCAUCUUCUCCAUUUCACCACAGCAACGAAAAACACAGCAAGGGGGAGAAGAGAAGAAACCUAACCCUCACCAUUCCUUCCAACUACCAUAACUUCCUCAUCCGGGCUCCGAUUGCCGCACCGUUCGCGGCCACGCGCUCAGCGCGUCGAGCUCUACCUUUCUAUCCAAACAAUUUCUCUGGUUCAAGUUAGAUUCCGGAACUUGUGGGCUCAAGCUAUUGAGCAUAUGGGUAUGGUGUAGUUUAAGAGGGU